AGUGUCAUUUCACGAGAUGGAGUU
rnacentral:siRNA from 1 species